ACCAACUUUUCUUGAUUUUCAAACCCUGGGCUGUCUAUUUUCGUCGUUAAUAGCUCAGUUGUUUAAAGUAUGUCUUACAACGUCCCCAUACCUAGAAAUCUAAGUGAACGGUAUCAAUCUUCAAUUGAAGCUGCUAUGAGUGCGACACCCCUUGCAUCAAAUACUGUCAAGAUAAAUAAAUAUCUUGUGAGGUAAUUCGGUCGGAACAUUAUUUCGUUUUAAGUAUACCUAAAAGAAUUUAUAUAUUAAUUUUUUGUCUCAUAGCAAGGGUGAGGCUGGUCAAGAUGCUAUCGACGCUGUUCGUCUUAGUGAAAUUGCAGUCCUAAAAAAUGAAGUUCAGUAAGUUUAAAAAAUAGUAACAAAUAUUUUAAAAUCGUGUAAGAGUUGGGCUUGGAGCGCCUUACCGCUAUGGUACACUAUGUGUGAAGUUUUAUGUUGUUCUUUGUUAAGAAAAAUAUACUUUUCAUAUUGUUAGACUCUGGAAAUCGAGGUACUAGGAGAUUGUUUUGGCGCGGAAGGACUAACAAGUAAAGUCUAAGGGUGUUUUCGUACUUGCAGGUCUGGAGUACAAUUCUAUUUCCUUAGUAAUAGAACGCCUAGAUUCCGACAAAGUCAUAAGGGAUAUGGACCACUACUGCAACAGCGACGACGAAAUCACGCGCCUGAAGUCGGCCAUUGCCAGUAUGGAGGAUACUCAAAUUGUCUUUAUAAGAGGUGUAGGAAGAUAUAUAUGAAUAAGUUAAUUCAAAAGAUUACAUCAUUUAAAAUCUUAAAAAAAAAAGAAAUAUUUGUGUUUUAGGCAUACAGAUCAUCUACAAUGCUCUUCUGGCUGUCCGGGCGAUUGUCUUUUAGGGAUACCAUGUCGUGUAUUAGAAAAUUUUUAAUUCAUUAAAUUAUUUCUAAUAUAGUUUUUUAUUCUACAUUUGUAAAUCAACUUUUUAGACUACUUUGUAAUGUUAGUGGGCUGGAAAAGUCGGGAUUCAGAAGGCUUAUGUUGGGGAGUUUUUUAGAAAGUGUACACUCUCUCAGUAUUCAUUAAAACGCAAUUCAGUUAAAAAUUUAAGAAUCGUGAAUAAAAGGUAAAUACGUUGUAUAGCAUGAAUCUUCCGAAUUCUUGGUGUACUUUUAAUUGCAGUUUCUUCAUUCUGAAGGUCUACUGGCUGGGCGGUUACAGAAUCUGCUUUAGACAAGUUUUCUGAAUCCUGUAGUGAUUCAUGGUCAGAAUUUUGAGGUGAAUAUGUUUGCUUCAUUUUACUCAUUAGUUCCACUAGUUUAUUUCUGGAUCCGUAGUUAUGGGGGUCAAAAUUAUCUCCCAUUAUAUCUUUCAGUUCUUU